AUUUGUAUGUACAUAUGUAUGUAUGAACAUACAUAUGUAUGUAUGAACAUACAUAUGUAUGUAUGAACAUACAUAACCGGACUUAUGUAUGUAUGUUCAUACAUACGUAUGUAUGUUCAUGCAUACAUAAGUCCUGUUACGGGCCAAAGACCUCCAUCUACAGGUACCAUUCCGCAAACUUGCACCCCGGUUUGUAGGACCUUAUACGGUGGAGGGCAUCAUCAACCCAGCAUGUGUUAGUCUGUCUCUACCCCCCUCUGUGAAGCGACAUCCGGUGGUCCAUGUAUCCCAGAUUAAGCCUGUCUCCAGUUCUCCACUCUUUUCCCCUGACCCUACCCCUCCUAGAAUUCUGGAUAACGGUGACCCAGUUUGGACCGUCAAGGAGAUCCUUGGGGUCCGUCGGCAAGGUAGGGGCCUGGUAUUUUUGGUAGAUUGGGAGGGUUAUGGUCCAGAGGAUAGAUCCUGGGUGCCGGCUUUCUACCUUGCUGACCCCACCCUUCUGGAGGACUUCUAUCAGGUCAACCCUGGAGCUCUCCGCCGCUCGUCGAGAGCCUCGCAUAAGAGGGGGGGGCACUGUUACGGCGCUCGCGCAGUCUGCUUCUCCCUCCUCGGCAGGAGCUCCUCGAAGCUCCGCUGCAAGCACCGCAGGGCACGCCCCCGCACGCGCCACGCAGACCGCGGCCACGCGCCUCCACAGCCGGCGGAAAUCAUCAAUCAACGCACCUGGUCUUGACGAGAAGCAGCAGCAUAAAGGCUCACUCCACUGACUACUCCACGCUGGAACAAAGCCAUGAUUCAUACCUCCGUGUCUCCGCAGUGAGCCGUGCGCCUCACCUGCCCAUCUUCCCCCUGGACUCUGACUGCCUUCCUCGACCCCCGCACUCGGAUCUGGACUUCUGGACGCCUCUCUCCUGCCCCCACGGACCUCGCUCGGAUCACCAACCUCUUUUGCUUCGCCCCUCUGGACUUCUUUGCUGUCACAACCAACACACACUCACAACAACCUCUUUUAACUUAUAUUUGGUUAACUUCUACACACAGCCCUGCAUCCACACACAUAGUAGCAUACACACCCUACGUCAGGGGUGUCAAACUCAAAUACAGAGCGGGCCAAAAUUUUAAACUGAACAAAGCCGCGGGCCAAGGUUACCCUUGACUUUUGGACUGUAGACUAUUUGUUAUUAUUAUUACCCAUACUUACCUUUUUAACUAUAAUUUAAUUAACCAGCUACCACUUUACUUUACUCUGUGUGGGGGAGGUGAUACACCCCCACAUAAUGUCCUUCCCCACCCUUGCUCACUUGUGCCUGGUAAGCCAAUAAGACCUAGACUGUGAUUGAACCCAUGAACCCUUUGAUUGGGAGCUAGCUGUUUUACCAUUCAGCUAUCUGUGGUCUUAUCGUGACCAUAUUUCGGGCCCCAAUGACAUAUAUAUUUGAGAACUGUCUCAGUAAACUUUCAUUUAAAAGAUUAAUUGCUCUGAGUGGAUAUUUAGAGGUUUUAGAGUGACCUGACUGGGAUUGAACCCGUUGAUUGGAAGGUAGCUGCUUUAACCAUUCAGCUAUCCUUGGUGUUCUUGAAAGGAGAUUUCCGUCCCCAAUGACAUAUAUAAUUGAGAACCUUUAAACUAUCAUACAAAAGAUUUAUUUAUUCGACUAGAUCUUUACUAGUUUCAGAGUGAUCUGACUGGGAUUUGAACCCAGUCCCCUUUGAUUGGGAGGUAGCUGCUUUAACCAUUCAGCUAUCCUUGGUAUUCUUGAAGGGGGAUUUCCGUCCCCAAUGACAUAUGUAAUUGAGAACCUGCCUCAGUAAACUAUGAUAUUAAAGAGUAAUUU